UGGGGAAUAUUGGACAAUGGGCGAAAGCCUGAUCCAGCCAUGCCGCGUGUGUGAAGAAGGUCUUCGGAUUGUAAAGCACUUUAAGUUGGGAGGAAGGGCCGUUACCUAAUACGUGAUGGUUUUGACGUUACCGACAGAAUAAGCACCGGCUAACUCUGUG
rnacentral:rRNA from 1 species